UGCUGAUCAGAGAAAAGACUAUCCACAUACCUCAAAUGAGAUCAAUUAGUACCAAAGUAAGUAACGAACAGUCUCCCGAGCUGCUCAAAAAAAUAGAUGGACCCUUGUGGGAGUUCGAAAAACUACACCCUCACUGCCUUCUUGAGGGUUGCAGAAAAAGUAAUACAUAAUAGGACAUCGGAAGCCCCUUGUAAAAUCAUGAGGGCUCUAUAACCCUCGAUAUGAUCCAUUGGAUCAGCA
rnacentral:lncRNA from 1 species